rnacentral:rRNA from 1 species
UACGGGGGGGGCAAGCGUUGUUCGGAAUUACUGGGCGUAAAGGGCUCGUAGGCGGCCAACUAAGUCGGAUGUGAAAUCCCCAGGCUUAACCUGGGAACUGCAUCCGAUACUGGAUGGCUUGAAUCCGGGAGAGGGAUGCGGAAUUCCAGGUGUAGCGGUGAAAUGCGUAGAGAUGCGGAGGAACACCGAUGGCGAAGGCAGCCCCCUGGGCUAACACUGACGCUCAGGCACGAAAGCGUGGGGAGCAAACAGG